AAGAAAUCCGUGAUGGCCAUGAUGGCGGGGAAGCUGAACAAUGUUGUCAUCGAAUAUAGAACUAUUAUAUUGAAUCGAAAAAUGAUCUAAGCUGUGGCCUUAAAGGAGUAGUCUCCUUUGAUAAAGAUCAACAGUGACAAAUAAACAAUGCUGUCUUGUCAUCAACGGUGAAAUUUGAGACUUUUAUACCCAUAUAUCUACCAAUCACCUCUGUCCACUUUGUUUUGUACAUCUGAGACAGGUGUACACGAGAUGCCAGUAUUCACUCCUUUCCACGGACACCUGUUAGGUAACUCAUCACAAUCUAUCGUAUGUAGAGUCUGAAUAUAUCUUCUACUUUGUUAGUUUCAUCGCUUUUCUUAAUCUCUAAAAAUCAAAAGAACUGUCUGUAGAUAUGUACACAAACAACUACACGUAAGACUAACGGGUCGUGGAUCCGUAGAACAAUUCAGCGACUCUAUACAUGCGGGAUUUUCACAAUUAUUAAAUUGCGAUAAAAAUAUCAUUUACCGGGUACGUUAAUGUACCAAAAAAAAGAAUAAUUACAUUGUAAAUAGUUGAAUGGAAUUUUGCAAGUGGAUGUAAGCACAAAAACAGCUCUUUGGAGAUUUAUUUUCAAUCUAAUAUGUGUGAUGUAAAAAAAACUAUAUUAUUUUGCUAUAAGUUUGUAUAAUUGGUCAUUUGAGGGGGAUUUUAUCAUAGGAUCGCCGGUCAAUCAGUUUAAGUAUAACAGUACAGAUCACCCAUGUGCCGUGUGCUACUUGGCUCCUCCUAUAUGGGUAGAAAAAAUAAUCGAAUGAAAACGUUCUUGUUUUUUGUUUUCUUAAAUAUCUAUGAAAAAGAGUGUUCCUAUUUGAAAUUAUUCAACAAUAACUUCCUUCCAACUUCAUGAUUACCUUACUCAUGUACUGGUGAUCAGAGUCUUUUUCCCUCGCUGUCGUAUUAAUUUUGUUACUAGAUAUAUUCUUAAUAUAUUUAACACUUUUAACAUUCAUUUGUUGAUUACCGGGUAUAUUUUUCUGUGUCCUGUUUACAACUAGUAUGUGUGUUAAAAGGUAAAUAAAAUAUAAACAGGUUAGUCAGCAUUUGUAAAACGUCAGCUAAUUAAAUCGCAUGCAUACAGUGAAGAGCGGACACUUGUUCAACAGAAAUAUAUAUAAUAUAAUAUAUGUAAGAUAUAAAUAUCGCCAUUAAAUGCUAUUGACUUGUGUAUAUCCAGUUGCGUACAUAUCGUAAGAAAUAUGUUACAUGUACAUGUAUAGUUUAACGGAAAAACAAAUAGUCAUAUUUUGAUUAUACACGCCAUCUUAGUUCAGAUAAGAAAAGCGAUGAUAGGUUAAUUGAAGGUAUGAUCUGUGUAUACGAACAAGACUUAGUGCAGAAAAUCAUAGAGUCAAUAUUUGAA